rnacentral:rRNA from 1 species
UACGGAGGGGACUAGCGUUGUUCGGAAUUACUGGGCGUAAAGCGCACGUAGGCGGAUUUGUAAGUCAGGGGUGAAAUCCCGGGGCUCAACCUCGGAACUGCCUUUGAUACUGCAAAUCUCGAGUCCGGAAGAGGUGAGUGGAAUUCCUAGUGUAGAGGUGAAAUUCGUAGAUAUCUGGAGGAACACCGGUGGCGAAGGCGGAUCUCUGGGCCAUUACUGACGCUGAGGAGCGAAAGCGUGGGGAGCGAACAGG